GAUGAAGAACGUAGCAAAAUGCGUUAAGUAAUGUGAAUUGCAGAAUUCAGUGAAUCAUCGAAUCUUUGAACGCACAUUGCGCCCGCCAGUAUUCUGGCGGGCAUGCCUGUUCGAGCGUCAUUUCAACCCUCAAGCACAGCUUGGUGUUGGGACUCGCGUUAAUUCGCGUUCCCCAAAUUGAUUGGCGGUCACGUCGAGCUUCAAUAGCGUAGUAGUAAAACCCUCGUUACUGGUAAUCGUCGCGGCCACGCCGUUAAACCCCAACUUCUGAAUGUUGACCUCGGAUCAGGUAGGAAUACCCGCUGAACUUAAGCAUAUCAAUAAGCGGAGGA
rnacentral:misc_RNA from 1 species